rnacentral:rRNA from 1 species
AUUGAACGCUGGCGGCAGGCUUAACACAUGCAAGUCGAACGAGUGGCGGACGGGUGAGUAAUGCUUGGGAAUCUAGCUUAUGGAGGGGGAUAACUACGGGAAACUGUAGCUAAUACCGCGUACCAUCAGAUGAACCCAUAUGGGAUUAGCUUGUAGGUGAGGUAACGGCUCACCUAGGCGACGAUCCCUAGCUGGUCUGAGAGGGUGAUCGGCCACACUGGGACUGAGAAACGGCCCAGACUCCUACGGGAGGCAGCAGUGGGGAAUAUUGCACAAUGGGCGCAAGCCUGAUGCAGCCAUGCCGCGUGUAUGAAGAAGGCCUUAGGGUUGUAAAGUACUUUCAGCGGGGAGGCGUUACCCGCAGAAGAAGCACCGGCUAACUCCGUGCCAGCAGCCGCGGUAAUAC